AAUCAAGUGCCUUAAGGGUGUUCGGUGGAUGCCUUGGCGCUGAGAGGCGAUGAAGGACGUGCUACGCUGCGAUAAGCCGUGGGGAGCUGCGAAGAAGCUUUGAUCCACGGAUUUCCGAAUGGGGAAACCCACCUUCGAUAGCUGGAACUCCAAGAUCUCUAUCUUGGGGUUCGUGCAGCAAUGUGUGAGACCAAGCCGUGAGGUUUUGGAUUUCCAGUUAUCAAGUGAAGGUAUGAAAUCUCUGAAUUCAUAGGAGGUUUUAAGCGAACCCAGGGAACUGAAACAUCUAAGUACCUGGAGGAAAGGACAUCAAUCGAGACUCCGUUAGUAGUGGCGAGCGAACGCGGACCAGGCC
rnacentral:rRNA from 1 species